AUUGUCCCACAAAUAUGCAGGACGUUCCAAAAUUUUACUUCAAGCCACAGUAGCCUAAACUCUGGG
rnacentral:snRNA from 1 species